rnacentral:rRNA from 1 species
CCUACGGGUGGCAGCAGUCGAGAAUCAUUCACAAUGGGGGAAACCCUGAUGGUGCGACGCCGCGUGGGGGAAUGAAGGUCUUCGGAUUGUAAACCCCUGUCAUGUGGGAGCAAAUUAAAAAGAUAGUACCACAAGAGGAAGAGACGGCUAACUCUGUGCCAGCAGCCGCGGUAAUACAGAGGUCUCAAGCGUUGGUCGGAAUCACUGGGCGGAAAGCGUGCGUAGGCUGUUUCGUGAGUCGUGUGUGAAAGGCGCGGGCUCAACCCGCGGACGGCACAUGAUACUGCGAGACUAGAGUAAUGGAGGGGGAACCGGAAUUCGCGGUGUAGCAGUGAAAUGCGUAGAUAUCGAGAGGAACACUCGUGGCGAAGGCGGGUUCCUGGACAUUAACUGACGCUGAGGCACGAAGGCCAGGGGAGCGAAAGGGAUUAGAUACCCCAGUAGUC